rnacentral:rRNA from 1 species
UCUGGUUGAUCCUGCCAGUAGUCAUAUGCUUGUCUCAAAGAUUAAGCCAUGCAUGUCUAAGUAUAAGCAAUUUAUACAGUGAAACUGCGAAUGGCUCAUUAAAUCAGUUAUCGUUUAUUUGAUAGUUCCUUUACUACAUGGUAUAACUGUGGUAAUUCUAGAGCUAAUACAUGCUUAAAAUCUCGACCCUUUGGAAGAGAUGUAUUUAUUAGAUAAAAAAUCAAUGUCUUCGGACUCUUUGAUGAUUCAUAAUAACUUUUCGAAUCGCAUGGCCUUGUGCUGGCGAUGGUUCAUUCAAAUUUCUGCCCUAUCAACUUUCGAUGGUAGGAUAGUGGCCUACCAUGGUUUCAACGGGUAACGGGGAAUAAGGGUUCGAUUCCGGAGAGGGAGCCUGAGAAACGGCUACCACAUCCAAGGAAGGCAGCAGGCGCGCAAAUUACCCAAUCCUAAUUCAGGGAGGUAGUGACAAUAAAUAACGAUACAGGGCCCAUUCGGGUCUUGUAAUUGGAAUGAGUACAAUGUAAAUACCUUAACGAGGAACAAUUGGAGGGCAAGUCUGGUGCCAGCAGCCGCGGUAAUUCCAGCUCCAAUAGCGUAUAUUAAAGUUGUUGCAGUUAAAAAGCUCGUAGUUGAACUUUGGGCCCGGUUGGCCGGUCCGAUUUUUUCGUGUACUGGAUUUCCAACGGGGCCUUUCCUUCUGGCUAACCUUGAGUCCUUGUGGCUCUUGGCGAACCAGGACUUUUACUUUGAAAAAAUUAGAGUGUUCAAAGCAGGCGUAUUGCUCGAAUAUAUUAGCAUGGAAUAAUAGAAUAGGACGUUUGGUUCUAUUUUGUUGGUUUCUAGGACCAUCGUAAUGAUUAAUAGGGACGGUCGGGGGCAUCAGUAUUCAAUUGUCAGAGGUGAAAUUCUUGGAUUUAGA